UCCCCCGGGUCCACGGGGGCAACGAUCAGCUGCUGCAUGCCUAAGCCGUGCAGUUCACAGAUCAAACGCGAGUGGCCUGCGCCCGCAGGUUAAGAUAUGACCGUAGCAGCCCUGCGAAGAGUCUGACACCCUAGUUCCGUAGGUGAACCUGCGGAAGGAUCAUUAUCGAGAGGGGGGCCUCGCGCUCCAGGGGCCUCGCGCCCCGCACCUUUCCACCCUUUGUGUAUCUUCCACUGUUGCUUUGGCGGGCCCCGGGGCUUACGAUCCGGCGCCGGCCCCCUGCGAAGGGGCUCGCGAGCGCCCGCCAGAGGCCCAUUCAAACCUGUUGUAUCAGUGCUGUCUGAGUAUACGAGUAAUCAAUCAAAACUUUCAACAACGGAUCUCUUGGUUCUGGCAUCGAUGAAGAACGCAGCGAAAUGCGAUAAGUAAUGUGAAUUGCAGAAUUCAGUGAAUCAUCGAAUCUUUGAACGCACAUUGCGCCCUUUGGUAUUCCGAAGGGCAUGCCUGUUCGAGCGUCAUUACACCCCUCAAGCUCUGCUUGGUAUUGGGCGUCCGCCCCCCCGUUCUUGGGGGGCGCGCCCGAAAUCCAGUGGCGGUCCAGGUAGACUUCAAGCGCAGUAAACUUUUGUUCGCUUUGGAAGCCCAAUCCCCC
rnacentral:rRNA from 1 species